rfam:Oryza glumipatula chromosome 6, whole genome shotgun sequence.
AAUAAAUGUAGUUUUACACUAUUCACGUUUAAUGUUUGACUGUUCGUCUUAUUUGAAUUUUUUUUAUGAUUAGUAUUUUUAUUGCUAUUAGAUGAUAAAACAUGAAUAGUACUUUAUGUGUGACUAAAUAUUUUUAAAUUUUUCAUAAAAUUUUCAAAUAAAACAGACGGCCAAACAUUGGGCACGGAUAUCCACGGCUGCACUUAUU